UGGAUUAGGCAUGCAAGUCGCGGGAAUGCCCAGCAAUGGGUGGAACCGGCGUAAGGGGCAGUAAGGCAUGGGUAACGUACCCCUGGAUUUGGCAUAGCCCGUAGAAAUACGGGGUAAUUCCAAGCGACGUGGCGAGCGGGCAUCCGUUUGCUACCAUAGCUCCGGCGUCCGGGGAGCGGCCCAUGUAGUAUUAGCUAGUUGGUGAGGUAACGGCUCACCAAGGCGAAGAUGCUUAGCGGGUGUGAGAGCACGACCCGCGCCACUGGCAUUGAGACACUGGCCAGACACCUACGGGUGGCUGCAGUCGAGGAUCUUCGGCAAUGGGCGCAAGCCUGACCGAGCGACGCCGCGUGGGCGACGAAGGCCUUCGGGUUGUAAAGCCC
rnacentral:rRNA from 1 species